UAAAAUAUGGCUUAGUGGUCAGAGCGCUUGGACAGAUUCCAAGAGGCGCAGGUUCAAAUCCUGCUACGUUAU
rnacentral:tRNA from 1 species